UCUCUUUUCCUACUAAUUUGGCUCCCAGUUUGACUAGACGUAAGUGGUAUCUUAUUUCCUCUUCGCCUUGUCCUUCCCAGGGCCUUAAUUUGUAAGUCCUAGAGUUAUGGUCCUACUAUUGGCAAUUUUUGUAUCUUAAGGAUGUACCCCUCCUUUUGUAUCUACUAGAAUCACCAUCAUUGCUCACGCUGUAGAGAUAGGAGUUGCUACUACUAUUUGAUUCUUUAUCAGUAGGCUGCUUCUCUUCAAAAAAUUAGCUUUCUCAUGAGGUGGAGAAUGAUGUACCCA
rnacentral:lncRNA from 1 species